rnacentral:tRNA from 1 species
GUCUCAAUAGCACAGUGGUUAGCGCGAAGCCCCGGAUAGGUUGAAACGCGGGUUCGAAUCUCGCCUGAGAUA